GCAAGUAUCAAGAGCUAUGGGAGUUUUGUACAUUUUUAAAAUUUGUUUUUUCUUGCUUGACAAUCUGAAUUGCUACAACAAAGCAUCCGAAAAAGAUGCUUUGUUGUAGCAAUUCGCUGGUGGCCGCACCACGCCUUGAUAAUCACGUUCAAUUGGGAUAUGAAGUUACAAACUCUGUUGAUAUUGUCUUCGCUUGGAUGUUUUGAGAUAUCUGCUCUGAUAAGCAGCAGCAGUAUUGGAGAAUAUGUUGCACAGAGAGGGUCCUGCGUUUGCGGUAUAAAUUUGUAAUAUUGCUGUUUAUCAGGUGUUGGUGGGUACUAAUUGUGUGACUCCUGGGCGUUAAACGUUAAAAAUACGAUUUUUUUCUUUGUCUAUAUUUGUUGGAUACAUCGGUCUUACAUAUUCAGCGUUUAUUUGAUUGUAAUGUUGGUGCUGAUACUCUCCAGAAAAUUUGAUUCUGUUUAACAUUCACUUAUUGCUUUACAGGACAAUUCAAAGAACAUUUUAUUCAUAAAAAUUAUUUUAAAAAAUA